AGGCCAAGCAUAACCAUGUUAUCGCUCGCCUGAUAAUUUUUCAUUUUUCAUUACUUUUAUCCCUAGCCACUUGGCGUAAGCUUUUCAUUACUAUUAUUUUUGAUCAUACUGCUUUUUCUGUGCUUUGGUGGUGGGUUAACCCGUCUUUAACAAACAAUACAGUAUAUCCGAAUUACAGGUUUACAAUCAUACCCCUGCUAUUCUUCUUGACCGUAGCUUCGGCGCACAUAACAGACUACUCAAAAGCCAAAUACAUUCCCAUCGUUGAUGGUCGAAUUUUGGUAUGGGAAGAGUUCGCAUUUGUAAGACACUCAGCGAAUCUCUCGGAGUAUAGGCGCGUGGUGGAAGAGACAGACGGAAUGACCGACAGGUUCCCACAAUCGCAUAUGCAAAAACUUUUGAGCGUUGAUACCGCUCACUUGCGUGACCUGCUCGAGUCAUUAAGCAUUCACCAUAGAGUAGCCAGGAGUUUAGACUUCCUAGGUAAAGCCUUAAAGGUAGUGGCGGGAACGCCGGACGCCGAGGAUUUUGAAAAAAUUAAAUUCAACGAAUUUCUACUCAUUGAUGCAAACAAUAGGCAAUUAAAUAUUAAUACCAAAGUCCAAGACCAAAUCAAUAAAAUAUCCACUACUGUCAAUCAACUUCUGAGGUCGGCUAAGGAAUCCCAAAUUGAUACGGGACACCUAUACGAGAUGUUACCAGCUCGUAAUAGGAUGACGGUAAUGGAGCUGCAGAAUUUGAUGCUUGCAGUCGCCCUUGCGAAAAUUAAUGUCGUUAGCCCUAGCAUACUAGAUCAUGCAGAAAAAACUGCUCCGUAACACCAGGGGCCACAUUUUGCCUACUGACACUAAGAAGUUCGUGCGCCCAGGAGCUCCACGCUGGAGGCACUGCGCACUGCGAAAUUCAGCAAAGUGACUUGCAUCCCGUCACUUACGUUGACGAUGGAAUUGUCAUUGUAAAUGAUCGCCCGGCUCGUGUGAGUGUGGACAAUGGCACUUACGUCCACGUACAGGGUACCUACCUCAUCACCUUCAUUGAGAGUACCACAGUCAACGAAACCCGGUUUGUUAAUCAGGACACAGCCCAGAAAAGGGCUCCGGGAGUAGCCACCUCGCCUUCUCUGAACGUCACUAUGGAACGAAACAUCCUUAGUCUUCCAUACCUUCAUCGUUUAAGUGAACGUAAUUUGGUCAAACGUGGUUUUAGGAAUUUGUUUAUUGGCUAUUUAUACCCGUUACUCGUGGAUUAAAAGGGUAUACUAGAUUCGUCGGAAAGUAUGUAACAGGUAGAAGGAAGAGUUUCCGAUACUCUUGAUCAGAAUCACUAGCCGAGUCGAUCUAGCCAUAUCCGUCUGUCCGUCCGUCCGUAUGUCCGUAUGAACGCUGAGAUCUCGGAAACUGUAAGAGCUAGAAUGUUGGGACUUGGUAUGUAGAUUCUUGGUCUUCCUGCGCAGGUAAGUUUGAACGAACGCCCACAUUUUUAAAAUAUUUUAAAAAUUUUUUCGAGAUUUUAUUUUUAUUAUCAAUACUCAUCUACAUGCAACAAAUUAUUGAAAUCGGGUCAUUAAUUAAAAACGAAACAAUUUGCGAACUUAAAAGAGUGCGAGAGGGACGAAGUUGUAUUAAUACAGGAAAUCGGCUGCUUACGAAAUUUAACUAGCGCCACAUAGGUGGCGCUUUUAUGUUAGCUGAGUAACGGGUAUCUGAUAGUAGAGGCCGUCGACUAUAGCGUUUUCUCUUGUUUUCUUUUGCAAAUUUGGAGGGUCAAGCUUGGAAUUGUCAAUAGUUUACGUCCUCCCUUCAAUUUAUCAAUUUUCAAGGUCCAUACAAAUCGACCCGCCCUAAUAUACACAUACAUAUACAUAUCGUCGAACACAACGUUUAAUUUGGUUGUUGUACUGUCCAGCUUGUGAAGACAAUGGUGUUGCAAAAAGCAUUGAGAAAGAUCGAUCUGUCGCGCAGCUGGAGACAUGUGCCCCAAGUCAAGAUAUUCCAGAAGAAAUGCUAAAACUUUGCUUUGAGCUGUGUGUUUCCAGCAAGGUUUCUCUCUUAAUUCCUAAGUCUACGCAUCGCUUGCUGAUAGGAUUCUACUAAAUUCUUUUCAGCCAAUGUCUUCCUUCGAAGUUGAAAAUGUGGAGUAUUCUACACCUAUAUCCCUAAGCAGAAUACUUAAAGGUGCUAGAGCUGCAUUCUGAAUGGGGCUGCAAAUAUUUCCAGACACUAUCCAGCCAAGCUUGUUCUUAUGUAAUAUUGACAAUUGCGAAAAAAAUGUAUUUUCCCCGGCAUACAUUAAACCAAAAAAAAAAAGAUCUUCACCAAUCAACAGAUCGACUAUAGAACACGGGGCCUGCUGGCUUUAAAAUUAGUGUCAAAUGCGUUAAAGGAGUCGCGAAAGCUUGCGUCCUGCGCCUGUGUAAAUAGCGCGGUAGGAAAAGAUGCUCCGCAACGACUCCUAAUAUAGACAAUGGCAGUAACUAACAGAACAAGGGGAAAGAGUAGGUAAGAACGGGCUACAAGCUCUGUCUUAUCUAAAUCGGUUAGCUCAUCCUGUGCUAAAAAUAAAUCCAUUGACUUCAGUUGCCGGGAAAAUGAAUCCUUCCGCUUAAAAAACUUAUACCCACUUGGCUCUGUUACGUGCGUUUCGAAGGCAUCAGGCGUUUUAAGGCUUUAAAUUAAUUUGGUAAGCACACAAAAAGGCAUGAGGAUGAGUACUGAGCGAAAGAUUUUCAGUUGAUGUGGUGAUGUGCUGACACCGAAAACGUUGCGAUUUGUAAGAAAUUAACCAAAGUGGUUAUAUGCGACACUAUACUUUGAAUUACGUCGGGGUCACCAAAAAGAUCUGCUUUGUUCGUGGUUCAAAACGCAUGUGUCGCUCGCUUGAUUCUUAUGUACAUCUUCUUCCCACCACGCUCCGCCGGCCGUGCGCAGCAUCGCUUGAAGUCAUAGCUUUUGAAUAACAAUGCGGCCGCUAUAUAAGGGUUUUUUCUCAGACUUUGAGCUAAGAAUCCGAGAGCCACCGAUUGAACUGUUGCCUUUUUUUUUGUAUAAUAAGUUACUUCCUAUCCAUGUAGGCGAAAAAUUUUGUAGCCACGCCGUUAGAUCGGAAUAACGCCACCGCCAAUGUAUGAAAUUAGAUUUUAAAUAAUACAAAAUUAGUUUGUUGAAAACGUAAAAAGCGUGCGGUAGUUUCUGGUGAUAUGUUUUGAUGACAUUGAACGAUGAUGAACUUAUUGAUAAGUGUGAGCGAGAAUAAUUCAUAUGAUUUUGUGAAUUGUUUUAUAUGAGGUGUUAAUUGUUGUAAUGUAUGAAACGAGCAGUGUGGAAUGUGUAAAACUAAAUAUUAAUAUUAGCAGCCUUAAUAAUACUCGACGUCCAAUUUUCAAUUGGUUAGUUUAGAGCAAUUUAUCAAAGUAAGUAUAAUGUAUUCAUUAAUGUAGCAGGAAUCACAAUGUUCAUUUCCAAGUAACCGAUAGAUAUCGCUAUAUUUAAGUAGUGUUGGGAAAUGUCUUUUUUGUGUGUAUUUUGAGCAAUUUAGCAAAGUAGAGGAUUAUUAACAAAAUACUGUAUAACCCUGAAAAAAGAAGUUUCUUGGUAAGCACGAACAUUCUUAAUGUGAUCACUAAAAGUACUUAAUUUCAGAAAAUUAGGUUUUAGUAUUAAAAUAGGAAUGAAAUAUUUUCAUUAGUACUACAAAACUUCAAAAGUAAAUAGUAUAUCAACAAGUACAAUUUGUGCUUAAAUCGAUAAUAUAACUCACUUAUUAUAUUUGCUAAAAAAGAACAAAUGUUGCUUAAUUUAAAUAGAAUUUUUACUACACUAAAGUAGAUAAAAAUAAAAAAAAAAUAUUUCCCACUUUCAUCGCAAGCAUUAAAGAGUGUUACAAAACAUAUCCUCACAACAAGCACAUUUUGUGCUUAGGUCGUAGAAAGUAAUAGGAAAUUAAUAAUUGUCCUUAUAUACUCUGAAACUCAUAUAUUACCGUACGCUUAUAUUUUCAAAACAUUAAAAUUUUUACAUAUAAACAAAAAACACAAUGAAUAAAAUAUUAUUUAUAAUUAAUAAUGAAGUUCUCCAAGCAAGCACAUUUUGUGCUUAGAUCGGAGAAAAAAUAAAAUAAAUAAUUAAUAAUUGUCCUUAUAUACAUAUGUACUCUGAAACGGAAUAUAUUUAAUUUUUCAUACAAUCCAAUCUACGCCUGAUUGCUUAUCCACAAUUGUGAUGAGCUGAAAAAAUAUAGAUAAAACUUGAACAAAAUUAAAAGUAUUCAUCGGAAUCAAAACAUUAAAAAAAAAGUAUAAAGAACUCUUUAUACAAUAAUCUAUUUAAGAAAUCACAUAUUAUUGUUUUGCCAUCUACAUAUAAUAUGUCUAUUAAGGUCUUAAACAUAUUUUCUAGCUGGUUUAUUGUACAACUCAAUCCCAGAAAUAGAGGUUAACUUCACGAAUAUUAUUAAUAUUAAUAUACCUAAUAUUUUAAUAAAUUUAACUCCAAAAACGUUUAACUUAAUACAUAUAAUAGGUAAAGUUUACUAUAGAACUAAAAUCUCGAUAUCAACACAAGAUGAUAUUUGAUAAGUCGAUACAAUUGAAUGGCUAGCCCCAGCUCUAGAAAAAGCCAUUCACUUUUGAUCUGAUCGCGUAGUGUCAAAGUUAUGUGAAAAUGAGUGCAAGUGACGCGAAGCUGGAAGAGUUUUUAAAAGAACAUGAACUGGAAGAUGUUCGGGAUUACCUCGAAAGUAAGUAAUAAUAAUGCGAUAUCCAAUUUAAAAUAAUUGUGAAUUGAAGAGAAUUAAUAAUUGGGCACUUGGUAUUCCUGCGAAUUGCACAGCACGUGGUUUUUUUUCCUGGAAAACUACAUUGAGCAUACACAUGUAUACAGGCAAAAUACUACAAAUUAAAUAUAUAUGAACAUAGAACCAAACCGCGAAAAGAACACACUUUUUAUAGUAUUUUUUUCGCUAAAUACAUAUGUACUUAUUUAUGUGCAUACCCUGCAGUUCCACAAUUGAGUAUAAGCGCCUAAUCAUCACGAUGUCGACUGCGACGUCGGCAGAGCAGCCAGCGAGGCCGGCAGAGCUGAGCGCAACGACGGCAAAGAGACGCACUCUCAGUCGGGUUAGUGAUGUAAAAAAACAUCGAUGCAUCGAGCAUCGAUGAUUUUUCGGCGAUGUUUUUCGAUGUUUUUCGAUGUUUUAUGUUAUGCCGAUGUUUAUCGAUGCAUCGAUGUUUAACCAAAACAUCGGGCGUCGAGUUGCACAACAUUGCAGAACAUAUGGUUUCAGUGCCGCACAGACAAAUUCGCGGUUUUUGUUUUAGUUUACCGUGUUUGCAAUGCCAAAAAUAACAACAAAGACAAGCUUUUGCUGGAGGCACUUUACAAAAGUUGACGGAAAUAGCGCAAAAUGCAAUAUUUGUGGCAAAGUUUUUAAGACUGCGGGUAACACGACCAAUAUGAAGGACCACCUGCGUUCCCUUCAUAAAAUUGAUCAACAUGUUGGAGUGCGUGCAGUACCUGAUUCUAGUGUUGCGGCACAAGUUUCCAUUGCUGAAAGCUUUAGAAAUAUAGCGGAUUAUGGCAUCGAUGGGGAUAAGAACAAAAAAAUCAAGGAUGCCAUUAUUUACAUGAUAUCAAAAGAUGUUCAACCAUUUUCCAUAGUCGAAAACCCAGGCUUGUUGUUAGAAAUUGAUAAGCGUUUGGGUUCAAUAGAGCAGGUCUCAAUUCUGGCAAUGGCUACAGUUCUUGACCCAAGAUUUAAGAAACUGCAUUUUAAAGACCCUCAGGCCUGCUCAAACUCUAUUAUAAAAAUCAAGUCUAUGGUAAAACCGAUGGGCAACGACAACAAUAGUAAUGAUGAGCACAACUAAAUCCAAUUCUUUUUGGGACCACCAUCACCAGCUGGCACAAUCUCAUAAGCCUAAGGGGGAUAUUGAUGUGGAGAUGAUAGCGUACCUGCGAAUGCCAUUAGCGUCAUUUGAAAGCAACCCUCUACAAGUAUGGGAAGGUUUGAAAAACACAUAUCCCAAUUUACAUAAAAUGGCGCUGCAAUUUUUACCGGUAGUAGGAUCGUCGGUUCCUUCUGAACGGGUUUUUUCAGCGGCAUCAUAUGUCUUAAGCUAGAGAAGAAACAGGUUAAGACCAGACCGAUUAAGCCGCAUUUUAUUUUUGCAAAGCAUCGACAAAAAAUACUUUUUUGGAAAAAUUUAAUUACUUAUUAUAAUUAUAAUAAUUAAUAUUGCUUUAAAAGCAUAACAAAAAGACAGCUAAGGAAGCAUUUAUUGUUACAUUAUUUUGUUUUUAUUAUUAUUUUUGAUUCUGAAUGUAAUGAAAAAUAGUGCUAAGGAAGCAUUUAUUUUUAUAUUAUUAUUUUAUUAUUUUUGAUUCUCAAUGUAAUGAAAAAGACUGCUGAAUGCUCAUGAAUUGAUAUAGUUUUAAGUUCGUUUAUAAAAUUGUUAACAAAACCCUUCAAUGAAGAAAUAAAAAGGAAAAAACUAAGAAAGCUUUUAUUUUUGUAGUCUUAAUUCCUUCUUAUUUAAAUAUUAAAAAAUCUCAAUAAAAAAUUUAAUAGGCUUCUACAAAUUGAAUUAACGAAAAAUAACGGAAUGGGUUGAAAACAUCGAUGCAUCGAUGUUUCUAGCCGAUGUUUCACAAAACAUCGAUGUAUCAUUUUGCAAACAACGAUGAAGAUCGACAUCGAUGUUUCGACCCAAAUUUACAUCACUAAGUCGGGUUACGCAAAGAGAACGCUCAAAAAGUACUUUUGGGCUCUCCCUCUCUCGCCAUGUCUCAGCUGGAAAAAUGCGGGUGCAGGCAAGGAGGCCCAGCAAUUAAAAUGUAGACUUUUGUGCACCCUUGCCUUUUAAAUAAUGCAACAUUUUUUCGUAAAUGUUAAAACAACAAAUUAAAAUAAUAGUUUUGGGUUUUAAAAUAUUCGUAUUGUUUUGUGAAGUUUUAAAAAUAUAUUUUUAUAAAACGAUUUGCAUAGUCGGAUAUGUCUAUAAAUAUCCUGCUUUUAUGUGCAAGGUGCAUAGACCAAACUGGACAUGCAAAAAAAAACAGAGCAACAACGGAUAAGAGGAUCCGUUUUUCUGGAAGGCACGCGCCUUUUUCGUUUCUUUCACUUGCGUUUACUUAUGUGAAGGAGUUAGAAUUACCCGCAAUAAACGUAGUUAAAUAAAAUAAGUCAGUGGUAUAAAAGUGAUACCUAUACGAUUCCCAGGUAAGUCUGUCGCAGACCAAUAUUUAUUUAUAUAAAUAGACAAAUGAAUGAAUCUGUGAAAGAAUUUUAAAAUCUUAUUGAGUGCAAUGUUCCUAGAAAUCGAAAAUAAGAGAUGUUUGUAUUUAAAACUUAUGUUUGUGGUUAAAAUUUGUUAAAAAUGAAUAUUAAUAACAUUAAACCACAGUUUUUACUUUUGUGUACGUACACAAACAUGGCUAUUUAAAUAAAAGUCUCAAUUUUCAGUCCCUGGAAAAGUGUUAGUUUUCCCGCAAACGCAAAAUCAAAAAAUGUUAAUAAAUAAUACAAAGAUAUAUAAAUAUCGUGUGGUAUAUUUUUUAAAAUAAUUUUUAACAAGAAACAAAAAAAAAAUGAAGUGACCGAAAACAAAACUUUCAGAAUUUCUUCUCUUGUUUUUUAAUAUUUAAGUUUACUUGUAAGCUUACUUUUUAAAAGACUCCUGUCAUUUUCUUUAAAUGCCAAAGUUAACAUUUUCUUUACAAAUACUUACAAAUAACGAUUACCUUCGGUCACUCGUUAUACCCGUUACUCGUAGAGUAAAAGGGUAUACUUGAUUCGUCGGAAAGUAUGUAACAGGCAGAACAAGGCGUUUCCGACCCCAUU